UGGGGAAUAUUGCACAAUGGGGGAAACCCUGAUGCAGCGACGCCGCGUGAGCGAAGAAGGUUUUCGAAUCGUAAAGCUCUGUCCUAUGGGAAGAUAAUGACGGUACCAUAGGAGGAAGCCCCGGCUAACUACGUGCCAGCAGCCGCGGUAAUACGUAGGGGGCAAGCGUUGUCCGGAAUCACUGGGCGUAAAGGGUUCGCAGGCGGAAAUGCAAGUCAGUUGUGAAAGGCAGAGGCUCAACCUCUGUAAGCAAUUGAAACUGUAUUUCUUGAGAUGUGGAGAGGAAAGUGGAAUUCCUAGUGUAGCGGUAAAAUGCGUAGAUAUUAGGAAGAAUACCGGUGGCGGAGGCGACUUGCUGGACACAAACUGACGCUGAGGAACGAAAGCGUGGGUAGCAAACAGG
rnacentral:rRNA from 1 species